CCUCCACCAUGGCCCACACUGACCGGGGGGGCACAGGCCCACACGGGUCUCUCUGCAGCGGGCAGGCACUCACGUUAUCUGGGAUUUUGAGAUGUUAUUCCAAGCAACUGAAAAUGAAGAAGUCUCCCAAGUUCCUGAAGGUGUCUUCAACAGACAAACCUGUGAGAGAAGGAAUUACUGUAUAUAGGACCAAUUUUGAUACUUCAUAAGUGCAACACACUAAAUAUAUGUAUUUUGCAUACUGGAACACUCAGAGUACUCAGUACUUACUGUGACACAGUGCUCACCUCCUGUAGUAAGACAGUGAUUUCUACUUCACCUUAAGUUGACUUUCAGAAUCCUUUCGCAUUUCCCAAAGUUUUUCCAAAAGUUUACUAAUACAGUUAAAAAUUGUUAAUAAUAAACGUUUCAAAAUUAUUAAUAAUGAACUCUUCAAUCUAAAACAUUCUACCAAGAUCACAUAAUAUGGACAAAUCACAGAAUGCUUGUGUGGGAACUCACUAAAAGAUAACUACGUGGUAA